CCUAGAAAGCAGGUUUUGGUCCUUAAGCUAAAGGUAGAGAGAUGCCUGGGAGGCCUGGUAUUGGAACUGGAGGGUUUUGCGCCAGGAGGCCACCUCAGAACAGUGAAGCCUGUGGCUGGAGGAAGUUACCAAUCCAUGAGAGGACCUUUUCUCCCGUGACAGCUUACCUACUGUCCCUCAUCAGAAGUGCCAUAAGGCUUAAUCUGAUACUUUUGUGAGCCAGUUUUGAGAUGCUCAGACGGAAGGGAACAGAAAAAGCACCAAAUAUGAUCGAAUUCCUCUCCGAAGAGAAAACGAGGAUAUCUGAAGCUUUCCUCUUGAAACUUGGGAAGGUCUAGGAAUUCCCAC